rnacentral:rRNA from 1 species
GACGAACGCUGGCGGCGUGCCUAAUACAUGCAAGUCGAGCGGUCCCUUCGGGGAUAGCGGCGGACGGGUGAGUAACACGUAGGCAACCUGCCUGUAAGACCGGCAUAACUAUCGGAAACGAUAGCUAAGACCGGAUAGCUGGAUUUUUCGCAUGAGAGAAUCAUGAAACACGGGGCAAACUGUGGCUUACAGAUUGGCCUGCGGCGCAUUAGCUAGUUGGUAGGGUAACGGCCUACCAAGGCGACGAGGCGUAGCCUACCUGAGAGGGUGACCGGCCACACUGGGACUGAGACACGGCCCAGACUCCUACGGGAGGCAGCAGUAGGGAAUCUUCCGCAAUGGACGCAAGUCUGACGGAGCAACGCCGCGUGAGUGAUGAAGGUCUUCGGAUCGUAAAGCUCUGUUGCCCUAGACGAACAGCAAGGAGAGUAACUGCUCUUUGUGUGACGGUAUAGGAGAAGAAAGCCCCGGCUAACUACGUGCCAGCCGCCGCCGUAA